UCAUAACCCAUUAUGAUGAACGAUCAAUCAUUCUGAACAACAACAAAAAGCAAAAAACACUGAUCAACUGGUCUUUAAACAGAAGAAAACCAGGAACCUAAUUUUUCCAAAAUAUUUUACACAUUAUAUGUACAUUAUAUGGGCUGGACAUUGGCACAGUGGGUAGCACGUUCGCCUCACAGCAAGAAGGUCGCUGGUUCGAACCUCGGCUGGGUCAGUUGGCAUUUCUGUGUUGAGUUUGCAUGUUCUCCCAGUGUUCACAUGGGUUUCCCCCACAGUCCAAAAACUUUUGGGACCGGUGAAUUGGGUAGGCUAAAUUGUCCGUAGUGUCUGUAUGUGAAUGGAUGUUUCCCAGUGGGUUGCAGCUAGAAGGGCAUCCUCUGCCAGAAACAUAUCUGGAUAAGUUGCCUGUUCAUUCUGUAAGACCUUUUCAGGUCUAGGGAUGUGACUGCAACAGAAAAUAAAUGAUUGGUGUGAGAGAGAGAGAGAGAGAGAGAGAGAGAGAGAGAGAGAGAGAGAGAGACUCCUCAAACAGAAUGGCUAGAGACUUAAACAAGGUCAAAUCAACAAAAGAGACGUUUAUUUACAUAUAACAAAGAAAACAGGGUAUUAAUUCAGAAGGGGGCAAGGCCAAAAAAAAAAGCUAUCUCCUAAUAUGAAAUCUGAAAUAAAAAGAAACAAAAAUACAUAAACCAACUCCCUCUACUAACAUAAACAGGAGAAAACCGAUUCAAAACAAAAUGGCACCCACCUUCCUACUUAACCCUCAAAAUAAUCAAACAAAUCAACCAGACUCACUUCUCUUUGGGUGAAUUAUUAGACAUUAACAAGAAUAUCAGUGAAAGCAGAAGUAUGACUUCAAUAGCUUCACCACACAGUAACUGUUCAAGUCAAAUCAAAUCUUGAAAGCUCUAACAAACACCAGGUCUGUAUGUGGAGAAGAGCUCAGCCAGUGCAUAAUCUAGCCACCAUAAACAAUGGUUUGAAGUGUAGAUCAGGUUAAAUACUCUCUCUCCUCUCCCAACAGCAAGUCACUGGAAAGAUUUAAUGAUCUCUACCAGGUGGACACAGUUACCUGCAGGGAGAGAAAGAGACACACACAGAGAGAGAGAGAAAGGAAUUAAGGUGCGGUCACACUUGGCUUUUCCUCCCAUAGACUUCCAUUCAUACGCACGCGAAUGCGUCAGACCGGAAACGCAGGGUCAUGCAUUAAAUUUCGCAUGUUGCUGCAGUACAAAGUUCAAGCUUGGUGAACUCUAACCUGCGAAAUCGCAUCACUUGACUGCGUGAGACCAAUCGAGGAUCAAAACAGGACCUCUCUGGACAGAAAUUUAAAACAUGGAGCAAAUCUUUUUUAAUGUCUAAUCAUCUUGUUUAAUCCCGCCCAUUUUCGCAGCGCCGCACGACAGAAUUUCGCACACACAAAGCCCAGUGUGACCGUAGCUUAACACAAAAGCACAUUGUGCACACCAAAAGAUACAUCUCAGGACGUAACAAUUCCACUGUGGCGACCCCAGAUUAAUAAAGGGAAAAGAAAAUGAAUGAAUGAAUGAAUGAAUGAAUGAGUACAUUAUAUGGCCCACUUUCUUACAAAUAAAUCAUUUUAAAAAAUGCAUAAAUAACGCAAACAAAUCACUAGAAACAUUGGUUGAGCGUGAAAGUCUCUUCAGCUAGAAAAGGAUGUCGAGCUUGGCACUGGCUGCGUCUUUAUAGCAUGACUGAUUUUCAUUGAUGCCAGCUGUGCACGCUGACGCUGCCAACUCAUUGGCAUUUCAUUGGCCCGUUUUUAUACUCUUUUAGAUGAUUAGUUUUUGACGAAAUCCCCAUAGUGGAAGUUUCCACAUAGCAUAACAAACCAAAGAUCAAAAUGUGUGGUGGAAAAAAACGUAUACUGUAUAAUAAUGUCUAUGAAUGUGGAUUUAAGGACAGGUAGGUUGUGUAAUUUAUGACAAUUUCCCUACUUCAUAUGUGAUUUUUAUUUUAAAAUUUUAAUUUAUUUUCCUGCGACAAAUAUUGUGAUGAAAACAGUUUAACAAGAUAAGUCUAACAGUAUUCGGGUACAGAAACUGAAUAAUCACAAUGCAAAAACAUGCUUUUCUUACUGUGUUUUGUCUCGUUUCUUGUCCAAAUAUCAAAAUUUCUUAGAUCAAGUAAAAAAAUUGUUAUGUUUUUCCCACCUGAAGAAAUAAGUAAAAAUUAAGAGUUUUUCCUUAAAACAAGCUAAAUUAUGUGCCACUGGGGUAAGUGAAAUAAUCUUGUUUUUGCUUUUAAAUGUAGAUAUUUGGACUAGAAAAUGUAAGAAAAAACGUUUCUUUUUUCGUUGUUGUAUAAAUCGGAUAAAUUCCAUAUAAAUACAGUGAGGACACAAUUCUGUAGCUCCUGGUCAACUAUAAUUCAGACUCAACAUUGCAGAUCUUUGCAAUGUGACUAUUGCAGAUGUGCACAUUGCGAUGUCGAUGCUAAAACAAUAUAUUGUACAGCCCUACUGUUGAUCAUAUUUUUAACAUCUUGUUUUAAAGCUGAAACAUUAACAAAGUUUUGAUUAGUCCUUCAUAUAACAGAUGUCAAAGAAAAAGUUUUUUCUAUUUCUCUAGAAAUAUUACUAAAUAGUAAAGCUAAUUAUGUAAUGUUUUAUUAUACAGUCUUGUUUUAUUUUGUAAUAUACAAUCCUAAAAUCACUUUUUGUCUCAACUCACAGGGAUCCAAACAUGGCUGCAGUCAUGUCAGAAGGCAGUGAGAUCUUGUCAAACUCCAGCUGCUGGAUCACAGAAUCAGGACAUUCAGAAUGCAGAAGAUUCUGAUGGAACUCCAGCCAGUGGAUCAAACCAGAACCAGAACCCAGCAGAUUCACAAGAAACAAGUCCUUUACUGAAUCCUGAAGAUCAUGAGUCUGGGAUGAAACUAAAGAAAGAGACAUGGAAAUGUGUGGUGUUGUGUGACUACACUCCUGAAAAAGACGACGAGCUGAAGCUGGUUACAGGAGAAACCAUAGAGAUUCUCAUGAAGGAUGAAAAUAGUUGGUGGAUGGGACAGAUAAAUAAUCAAAUAGGACUAUUUCAAGCAAAUAAUGUAAAAGAAAUUGCUGUCUCUUCGGAAGAUGCAGCAGGAUCUGAUGACAGUCCAGCCAGUGGAUCAAACCUCUGCUGAAUCAAGACAAAUGAAAAUCAGCUGGAUUCAAGAGAAAAGGCUCUUUUAUCCAACACUCAAAAUCUCAGGGGAUAAAUGCAUAUGGUUUUCUCCUGUAUGAGAUUUUGUUUUUGUACAGUAUACACAUUGUGUAAAUGUGUGUACAUUAUCUAUGGGCCCUGACAAGUGCUUGAUAUUGCAAUUACAAAAUUUCAUGAAUUGCUCCAAAAAGGGAAUUGCAGACUAAAUAAUUUUUGCCAGAUUUAUUUAUUUUUUUCUAUUUCUAUCUUAAUGAAGUGACCACAACAUUUGUAUUGCUUGAUAACCUGAUGGCUCGAAAAUCAUUUUUCUGGGUCAUCAGAAUCACUGAAAUUAAAUAUAUUUAAAUCUCCAGAA